GACGAACGCUGGCGGCGUGCUUAACACAUGCAAGUCGAACGGUAAGGCCCUUCGGGGUACACGAGUGGCGAACGGGUGAGUAACACGUGGGUGAUCUGCCCUGCACUUUGGGAUAAGCCUGGGAAACUGGGUCUAAUACCGAAUAGGACUCCGGACUGCAUGGUCUGGGGUGGAAAGCUUUUGCGGUGUGGGAUGGGCCCGCGGCCUAUCAGCUUGUUGGUGGGGUGAUGGCCUACCAAGGCGACGACGGGUAGCCGGCCUGAGAGGGUGACCGGCCACACUGGGACUGAGAUACGGCCCAGACUCCUACGGGAGGCAGCAGUGGGGAAUAUUGCACAAUGGGCGCAAGCCUGAUGCAGCGACGCCGCGUGAGGGAUGACGGCCUUCGGUUGGUAACCUCUUUCAGCAGGGAAGAAGCGAAAGUGACGGUACCUGCAGAAGAAGCACCGGCUAACUACGUGCCAGCAGCCGCGGUAAU
rnacentral:rRNA from 1 species